UACGGGGGGGGCAAGCGUUGUUCGGAAUUACUGGGCGUAAAGGGCGCGUAGGCGGUCAGCACAAGUCAGUUGUGAAAUCUCCGGGCUUAACUCGGAAAGGUCAACUGAUACUGCGCGACUAGAGUGCAGAAGGGGCAACUGGAAUUCUCGGUGUAGCGGUGAAAUGCGUAGAUAUCGAGAGGAACACCUGCGGCGAAGGCGGGUUGCUGGGCUGACACUGACGCUGAUGCGCGAAAGCCAGGGGAGCGAACGGG
rnacentral:rRNA from 1 species